rnacentral:rRNA from 1 species
UACGUAGGUGGCAAGCGUUGUCCGGAUUUAUUGGGUUUAAAGGGUGCGUAGGCGGCCCUGUAAGUCAGCGGUGAAAUACGGCAGCUCAACUGUCGAGGUGCCGUUGAUACUGCGGGGCUUGAGUGUUGAUGAGGCAGGCGGAAUUGACGGUGUAGCGGUGAAAUGCUUAGAUAUCGUCAAGAACACCGAUAGCGAAGGCAGCCUGCCAAGCAACAACUGACGCUGGGGCACGAAAGUGCGGGGAUCAAACAGG